AGGUCCUGCCUGCCCAGUGACUAUGUUAAACGGCCGCGGUAUUUUGACCGUGCAAAGGUAGCGCAAUCACUUGUCUUUUAAAUGAAGGCCUGUAUGAAUGGUGGAACGAGGGCCUAACUGUCUCCCUUUUCGAGUCAAUGAAAUUGAUCUACCCGUGCAGAAGCGGGCAUAUAUAUACAAGACGAGAAGACCCUUUGGAGCUUAAGAUUAAAAGUCAACUAUGUCAAAUAUUUAUUAAAUAAAACCAAAUAGUAACUGACCAUAAUCUUCGGUUGGGGCGACCACGGAAUAAAAACAAACUUCCAUAUGGACUGAGGACUAACCUUAAAACCAAGAAAGACAUUUCUAAGUCACAGAAUUUCUGACCACACAGAUCCGGCAAAUUGCCGAUCAAUGGACCAAGUUACCCUAGGGAUAACAGCGCAAUCCCCUUUUAGAGUUCCUAUCGACAAGGGGGUUUACGACCUCGAUGUUGGAUCAGGAC
rnacentral:rRNA from 1 species